rnacentral:rRNA from 1 species
GACGAACGCUGGCGGCGUGCCUAACACAUGCAAGUCGAACGGAAAGGCCCUGCUUUUGUGGGGUGCUCGAGUGGCGAACGGGUGAGUAACACGUGAGUAACCUGCCCUUGACUUUGGGAUAACUUCAGGAAACUGGGGCUAAUAUCGUAUAGGAUCUCCUGUUGCAUGGUGGGGGUUGGAACGUUUCGGCGGUUGGGGAUGGACUCGCGGCUUAUCAGCUUGUUGGUGGGGUAGUGGCUUACCAAGGCUUUGACGGGUAGCCGGCCUGAGAGGGUGACCGGCCACAUUGGGACUGAGAGACGGACCAGACGCCUACGGGAGGCAGCAGGGGGGAAUAUUGCACAAUGGGCGGAAGCCUGAUGCAGCAACGCCGCGUGCGGGAUGACGGCCUUCGGGUUGUAAACCGCUUUCGCCUGUGACGAAGCGUGAGUGACGGUAAUGGGUAAAGAAGCACCGGCUAACUACGUG